AAUUUCUUUGCCUAGCCCUACUAUAGGCUGUGUUUUUUCAAUCAAAAUAUUUAAGUUUUGUACAAAUUUUUAUUGGAAUUUUACUUGUCGUUCUCAAAUUUUUAAUUGACCUUCUAGAAAAAUGUCGUGGUGCAGGCUGUGGAACGAUAUAAAAAAUAUUGGGAUCGACUAUAAAGAUUAGUUCGCUGAAAAAAGGAUGUGGAUCUGCUAGAUAAGUUAAUGUUUCAAUGAAUUUGCCACUAAAGGAUUUAUCAAAAGCCCACGAGAUAAUAGACCUCUGAUGACAAAACUAGAUUCGCUUAUAAAGAUACACGAUGAAACAGCUCUAAAGCAGUUUAGUCCAUAAACGAGAUAUGCACAAAAGCGGAUUAUUCUACAUUUGAUUCUAUUGCAUUAAGCUAUACUGCUGACGCUUCGUCAGAUGAAAGAAAUGGAUGUUUUACUAACGAAUAUAACUUUGAAUAUUAUGAAAUCUUAUGGUUCUGCUCCAAGAUCUUAAACAAAGUUAUUCUGCCAAAGAUGACUAAUGCCAUGUUUACGUUACAACUUUUUGUAGGGUUAACCUACUUUGAGAGGAUUUAUUUGAAGUAAAAGUAAUGGAAAUGACAAUUUAAAUCCAAAUCCAGUGGGUUAACCCUCAUAUAUAUAAACGUACUAUAAGAAGCAAGUUAUCAUGAACAAUUGUCACGAAUUAGUUAGCAAGUAAAUGUAAGCUUUUUACAUGUUGUAGACGUCAAGGAGAUUAUAGGGAUCCUCAACUAAAGGUAUCAGGCAGAUAAUAAGACGUUUCCAAUCCAAAUCAUUUCCCCUUCAUUUUUUUAAGAGCGUCAAAGGAAGGAUUUUUCUAGAGCAAA